rnacentral:rRNA from 1 species
CCAUUUCAGUUCUCGUUUGGUGAUCAGCGGAGGGACAUUACCGAGUUUACAACUCCCAAACCCCUGUGAACAUACCAAUUGUUGCCUCGGCGGAUCAGCCCGCUCCCGGUAAAACGGGACGGCCCGCCAGAGGACCCCUAAACUCUGUUUCUAUAUGUAACUUCUGAGUAAAACCAUAAAUAAAUCAAAACUUUCAACAACGGAUCUCUUGGUUCUGGCAUCGAUGAAGAACGCAGCAAAAUGCGAUAAGUAAUGUGAAUUGCAGAAUUCAGUGAAUCAUCGAAUCUUUGAACGCACAUUGCGCCCGCCAGUAUUCUGGCGGGCAUGCCUGUUCGAGCGUCAUUUCAACCCUCAAGCCCCCGGGUUUGGUGUUGGGGAUCGGCGAGCCCUUGCGGCAAGCCGGCCCCGAAAUCUAGUGGCGGUCUCGCUGCAGCUUCCAUUGCGUAGUAGUAAAACCCUCGCAACUGGUACGCGGCGCGGCCAAGCCGUUAAACCCCCAACUUCUGAAUGUUGACCUCGGAUCAGGUAGGAAUACCCGCUGAACUUAAGCAUAUCAAUAAGCGGAGGAA